rnacentral:rRNA from 1 species
UACGAAGGGGGCUAGCGUUGUUCGGAAUUACUGGGCGUAAAGGGCGCGUAGGCGGCGUGUCAAGUCAGGCGUGAAAGCCCCGGGCUCAACCUGGGAACCGCGCUUGAGACUGGCAUGCUCGAGUUCGGGAGAGGAGAGUGGAAUUCCCAGUGUAGAGGUGAAAUUCGUAGAUAUUGGGAAGAACACCGGUGGCGAAGGCGGCUCUCUGGACCGAUACUGACGCUGAGGCGCGAAAGCGUGGGGAGCAAACAGG